UGGGCUUUCUUUUUUUUAUGUCUUUUUAUUUUUCUAAUUAAAAAAAAAUUUUUGGCUGCGUUGGGUCUUCGUUGCUGCACGUGGGCUUUCUCUAGUUGUGGCGAUCAGGGGGCUACUCUUAGUUGUGGUGUGCGGGCUUCUCAUUACAGUGGCUUCUCUUGUUGCAGAGCACGGGCUCUAGGCACGCGGGCUUCAGUAGUUGCAGCACGCAGGCUCAGUAGUUGUGGCUUGCGGGCUCUAGAGCACAGGCUCAGUAUCUGUGGCACAUGGGCUUAGUUGCUCCACGGCAUGUGAGAUCUUCCCGGACCAGGGCUCAAACCUAUGUCCCCUGCAUUGGCAGGCGGAUUCUCAACCACUACGCCACCAGGGAAGCCCGGUCUUUCUUUUAGAUUGAAUAUUUGUAAUUCCAUCUCGUGCUAUUUUUGACCCUCUGGAUACUGAGAGUGUCCUUGAAGUAACCAGAUCUUGCUGUUACAGUGAGCAGACCCAGGAACCAACCUCAGCUGCAAGGUGGUGGUGUCCUGCCUCUUUUGUCACACGUGAUGCCAGCAGUGGGAAGAGAACUUUUUCAGUAGCAAAGGUGAUGAACGUGUGAGAUUUUCAAACCUGCAGACGUGACUUGAAUGGCUUCCCUUUGGGUAAUGGACACUGGCUAGAGACCUAGAAAGGGAUCGGCCACAGGGUGAACUACUGGAGAGAACCAGCAUGGUUUCCAGCACAUGGUGUCAAGCAAAUGGUGAGCAAAGAACUCGUGCUUAGAGAAGACUCCAUUGAUGUGAUCUUUGCACUCAGGCAGCUUGCAGCUAAUAUAUGGGGAUGCUUCUACUGUGCCGGGUUCUGCAGGGGAUGGGGACUCUGAACCAGUGAGACACAUUACCACGGCUUUCCGGCUUUCAGUCUGCACGGUGCCGGCAUCAGGCAUCCACAUCGCUGUUGUGAUGAAGACUUACCCUUCUCCAGUGCUUAUCACCCUGAAAGGAUCGCAGCUUGGCAAAGCAGACGCAGAAGGACACACGCUCCCUGCUUCAGGCUCCGGUUCCCCAUCCCUCCAUCCCCCCCCUAGUCACAGGGGGUGGAGGAAGCGUCUGUGGGCUCAAUACAGUGGACCAAGUGGUUGGUCUUCAUAAAGGCCCCGCCCACAGACACCUGGAGCUAACAGACACUCACAGGCAUGAGGUUCCAGCCAAAAGGGACAGAAAAAUUCACAGACUCUCCAUGUGGCUUCUGGAUGGAAUAGAAGACUCCGAAAUGGACUUAGAACUCACAGCGGGAGCAGCAAGUCAGGGGCCAUAUGCUCAGGCCACAGAGUUGCCUGGGACUGCAAAGAUCAGCCUCCCAGAGGCUGAAACUGGAAAUCUUUAGGUUUUGAUUUAAAAGUUUCCAUUGAUGGGGUACCUACUGAGUGCCAGGCACUGUGCUAGCAGCUUUGCGUCUAUUGUAUCUAAUCUUUCCAGCCACCCUACAAAGUAGGUGUUAUUAUCCUCAUUUUAGAAGUGAGGAAGCAGAGGCGAAGGCUACGAUUUCCCUUUUCAUGGUUUUCGGUCUUUACUAAGUUAGUACAGCAUGAUCAGAGGAGUCCUAGUUUUACAAGGUAUCAGAACUGGAAGGGAUGGUAGAGGUCAUGUCUACCAUCUGAGGAUAAUGAUGAAAAAAGAUCCAAAGUGAGAAAAGUAAAUUAUUUUGCUCAAGGACACACAGCAGAGCUGGCACCUCCUCCUAGGCCUCUGGGCUUGCCGGGUGGACCUGUCUUUUCUUCUCCGUGUAACAGCAGGGGAACACAGAGAUGUCAUUGCUGUCUGGGAGGAAUGGAACAAAUGUCAAGGCCUGUCUGCCUCUAAGCAGUGAUCACCACAGACAUGGCCGUUUUCAAACCGAUUCUCACUUGAUCUGCUUCACAUUCCUUAAAAAGGAGGGAAGGGGAAGCUUUGACGUUUUGGAAGAUGAAGCAACUUGCAGAUGAUGAAAAGGGACAUCUGCGUCUAUCAAAUGUUUUAAGCCCCUCAGGAGAAAGGUGCAGGAGGAGCGUGAACUGUUUUGGUAUUUUCUUAUUUCCAUCAUCUUGUGAUCUUAGGUGUCACACACUGGGAAAUCUUCCUUUCAAGACAGUAAUGAGUUGCUUUUUUCACUCCUUGGUUUUCUCCAAAGUGCUUGGGGUUGCAGUGGAAAGCUCUUCUAGAAAUGUCCCUGUUUCAUCUCACCACGUCUCUAGGGAGUGUAUAGUCUACAUUCACAGCCAUAACAUAAACCCCAGUCUCUUUGAGCCACACACAGGAUUUGCCCAGAUGCGGGCAUCUGGCAACUCAGAAAUGGUUCUGUGUGCUGGGGUCUGGCUGCAGCACCAUGUGCAGGAUGGUUAAGAAGCAUUAGGGCUGAAAGGGAUCUUGGAGGCUAUUUCAAACUCUUAUUUUCUGAAUCACAUGGUACCUGUUUUUCAUUAAACAGUGGCUUUCAGAAAUUCUCAGGGAUUGAACCUGUUAGUAUAGUAACGGUCAGGGUCAUUUGCAAAGGCACAGAAUAAGCAGUUUAGAUGCUCGGUUCUACUUUUCACUUGGAAUGUUCUUUAUGAGCCAGUUUUAUUUAUCUGUUAAAUCAAUACAAUACUGGAUGAACACAUGUUUUUAAAUGGAAUGAAAUAUAAAAUCCACACAAGUCUUAGUCAUGGUCCCUUCACUUCAGUCACUGGCUGACUUGCUGGUCCCUGAAAUUACGUCAUGACAAUGCCCACUAGAAAUAAGACUAAUAAUUUCUUCAAUUUGCUAUCAGUGCUUUACACUCUUAUCACAGAGGACUGGAAGCUUUGAAGUUAAACUUUCAGAUCUACUUUCCCGCUUAACCUUCAAAAGCACCCUGCAAAGUAGAUGGGAAAGGAAUCUUUAUCCCCCAUUUUGCAGAUGAGCCAACUGAGGCACAGCCAGGUGAAAUAAUCAGACCAAGCUCACGCAGUGUGUUAGACACAGGAAUAAUGGGUCUCCUGAAUUCUGAUCAAGAAUUCUUUCUUCUGUAUUAUAUAGGGUAAGUGCUUAACGCUCCCAGAUUUGGAGGAUAUGUUUGGCCACUAAAGCUUUCUCCCAAGAUAGGAAAAACACCUGGCUGCUGCUUGCCCCACCACGGUAAUGACCCCAUACCUCAUGUGCACUCAAGCUUCCCCGCCUUGAUUCACUCUGGUCCCUCUGAUGGGAAUGCCCUCUCCUCCCCUUCUCCAAAUGACCGGCUCCUCCUAAUUCAGUUUCAGGCCAACUCAAAUCAUACCUCCUCUCCACGCGUUCCCUGGUUAAGUUCCUUUUCUAUGUCUUUGCAUGCCUUUGCUACAGCACGACAAUGGGCCCUAAGCAGUAGCCAGGCAUUUCUUAUGGAGUCACAGAAGGAAGAGAAGCCUGUGACCAACUAGAAGGCCAGCUUGUUGAGAUCUGGAAGCAGGUCUUUGUUUUUGUGUUUUCAUCGCUUAACACAGUGCCUGGAAUAUAGUAGAUAUUUGACCUAAGGUUGUCCAGCAGCUGAAAAAUAGGCUGCUCCUAAAAAGAAACAAGGUGACAGGCAAGGGGUGAUGUAGUAAAAAUGGAAACCAGGAUCUCAGCCCUCAGAUUUCAAGGUGGAUUUCUCGGGGCUAUGGAUAAGUUCCUGCAGUGCUGUGCAUCUGGGACGGUUAUGAACACUUUGGAGGCUGAGGGACUUGGAACCUCUUGUGAGAUGGAUCUACCAGCAGUUCCUGUUCUGAGUGAGUGUGAGCCCACUAAUGCCUUGAGGGCUGAAUGCUGGUGUGCCAUGUACUGUUGCCUUAGACCAGAUUUUUCCUUCUAAGUGUCAAAAACAACUUUAGAUGGAGAAAAUGAACUGAGUGGGGUGAAAAAAACCUACGAGUCCCAGAAUAACCUCCAGCUUGGUAAUGAUUUAUCCUAUUUCAUUGUUAAUUUUGCAAUUAAGCAAGAGUACUUUAUAUGCCUGAAUAACCCAUGGACUUUAUCUUAAUCAAAUUAAUGUGUCUGUAACAGAAGACUGAUUCAGUGUUCAACUAUUAGGAUAACAAAUGAUGCAAAGCCCAAGUUUUCUCUCUCCUUUCUCUCUCCUCCCCCCACAACAGCCGAAAGGUCAACACUAAAGGUCAACUGCCUGAAAGCCUGUUGUUUUGAUGACUGAUGUGAGAUUCUAUUGGUUAAAAAUGUGAGAAAACUGGCUACCUCCCCUCCCCCCCACUUCAAACCAACUGUAUGUAUGUGUGACAGUGUGUGUGUAAGUUUGGAUGAAAAAAAAAUUGUGGUUAAUUCUUCUUGUUGUGUACUUCCUGCCACUGACAUUUGUUGCUGCUGCUGUGUAAUGACGUUGAGGUUGGGUAGGAAAAUCAGAUGCAAAUGACCUAUUUACUUGUUCCCUAGUUAUGACUACCCUUCUCAACUCCUGUUCUUGGAAAACCUGGAAAGCAGAGAAAGGGGGUCAGGAAAGCCAGCUGAACAUGGCCUUGCCCUGAAGCAACCCCUAGAACUUUAGGUCAUCCUAGUUGAUAAGAAAUUUGAAAAAAAUAUGAUUCUGUUUAAUAAAAUGGUAUAUAUUUAAAAAAAUUAUAAGUUACGAAUAAUGGCUUUUUAAUAAAGACUUUUGUGGUUUAGGCCAAGGACCAGGAUUUAUGUCUCCCCGGGCUCAAUUCAUCAGCUUUUACAGGGACUUCAGCAAUAUUUUACCAUCCUCAUCCACUCCAUUUUCCACAAUUAGUGGGGUAAUUUAAAAAUAUGUUAAUCAGAUCACGUCUCUUCCCCGUCUCAAAUCUUUCAAUGGGUUUUCAUUCCACUACUUAGAAUAAAGUUCAAAGUUCUUGCCAUAGCUUAGAAGGCCCUACAUAAUAUGCCCCCUGCCGGGGAAAGUGGUAUGGGCGGGGGGAUGAAUUGGGAGACUGGGACUGACAUAUAUACACUAAUAUGUAAAAAAUAGAUAACUAAUAAGAACCUGCUGUAUAGUACAGGGAACUCCACUUUGCUAUACAAUAGAAACUAAUACAACAUUGUAAAACAACUAUACCCCAAUAAAAAAAAAUAUGCCCCCUGCCUUGCUCUCUGGCCUUUUCUUUUUCCCUGCCCCCCUUGAGACACUGGCUGCUUGCUUUCCAGCCUAAGGGCCUUUGCACAGGCUGUUCCUGCUGCCUGCUUGUCCCUCCGCUCCUGUCCUGGCUCACAGCACAAUGCCACCUCUUUAGAGAGGACUUCCCUCACGUUUCCCUAUGCAUUCCCCUCUCAUCACUGUAUCAUAACUUGUAAUUUUAUAUUUAUUUCUGUGCUGAAUUUUAACGUUAUUAUCUGUUUUCUCACUAGUCUAUAGGCUUUAUAUCUGCUUUGUUUGCCACUGUGUCCAGUUCUGGGCCUAUCGUAGGAGCUUAAUUAAUAUUUAUUGAAAGAAAGAAUGGGCAAACCAUUGACUUUCAUAAUACUUAAAAUUCCUUAGCCAUAAAAUGGGAAUAGUCAUCUUUAUUCUGUGGCUAGCUAUGGAAUUCAUUUUGAUAUUUGUUUUGCACUGAACUUUGAGAUGUUAGGAUAUUGGUUGGACGUGGAAGGAAUGUGAGACUGAGAGUUUUGUUUUUUGUUUUUCCUUCUCUGUUCAAAGUUCACUGGCUCAUGUGGCAGGGAUUAGACACAACCCCUAUUCUUCAUCCCGAGCCUGGCAAGGGUAGCCACUCCAUGACUGGAUCUCCUUUCCUUCGGCCCCUUUGGUUAGUGUCGCUGCCUUUAAUGAGCCAGGUAAAUCAUGGGGAACGUGUAAGCCAACUGUUCAAGACUUGCUCCUCACCGCUCCCUCAUUCUUUAGGAGCUUCUCAUUGACUAAAUAGCCCUGGAGAUUUGAAAAGAGGUGCACAAAAAAUGUGGGAGAAGAUAUUAAGUACCGAAUGCCACUGUUCCCCCCACCGUCUCUUCUCAAAAGGCUUCAAAUCCAGUCCGUCUAAUUUCUGCUCGGCCUCCCUUCUCUUCGUCCCUUUCCAGCCCUGGGAUGCCAGAGCCGAGAGUUCCAGGUGUGUUCCUGCAGAACCCAUGGCUCUGCUUUCUUUUUAGCCCUGAAAUUUUUUCCAAGGUGGAUACAGAAACCUGAAAGAGGUUGAGAAUAAAAAGAGUCAAAAGGAGCUACAUGUCUUCUGGAAAGCCAGUGAAUGUCUCUGAACUUUGAUUUAUCUAUAAAAUGGGAGUUAAAAAUACCAACCU